rnacentral:lncRNA from 1 species
GGAAUGAACUUGCCUGCCGUUCUAUCUUAUCACCACAAGAGCGAGGUAAAAAAAACUCGAUGUAGUUCUUGGAAGAAUCUGUGGAAAUAAGAUAAUAUUGACCAAGAUUUAGAUAUUUCAUAAGAAGCUAAAAUAUUAAUAUGGCUGAGCAACCAAUUCUCCAUUUCGUCAAUCCAAAGAAUGCAUCAAAAUGGUUAGACAAACUGGUCACUAGAUAGGUACACUUAAGGUUCUGAUAUCAACAACUGAAGGAAGAUUUAUACAAAGGACAAUCUUGCAAAGGAGUAUACACAGUAGUUGUAUCCUGCUUCUUCUCUUUCACAACUCACAAGUAAUCCUUGAAGCUAAUUUAACAGAUCCAAUUCAUUACCACCUUAUCCCAUCUGUCAAAAGCCUGAUGCAACAAAACAGCAUAUUGAAUUUUUAGACGAUGAGAAACUGGUGAGAAGCUAUUGUAGCAGCAUAUUGAAUUUUUUUUUUUGUUAAAAUUGUAUCAAAUCCCCCAUCAAAACUCUAUCAAAUCCCCCAUCAAAAUCUCCAUCAAAUCUC